rnacentral:rRNA from 1 species
GGACCUGACUGCUAUCGGAUUGAUACUAAGCCAUGCGAGUCAUUGUAGCAAUACAAGGCAUACGGCUCAGUAACGCGUAGUCAACCUAACCUAUGGACGGGAAUAACCUCGGGAAACUGAGAAUAAUGCCCGAUAGAACAUUAUGCCUGGAAUGGUUUAUGUUCCAAAUGAUUUAUCGCCGUAGGAUGGGACUGCGGCCUAUCAGUUUGUUGGUGAGGUAAUGGCCCACCAAGACUAUUGCAGGUACGGGCUCUGAGAGGAGUAGCCCGGAGAUGGGUACUGAGACACGGACCCAGGCCCUAUGGGGCGCAGCAGGCGAGAAAACUUUGCAAUGUGCGAAAGCACGACAAGGUUAAUCCGAGUGGUUUCUGCUAAAGAAACCUUUUGUCAGUCCUAGAAACACUGAUGAAUAAGGGGUGGGCAAGUUCUGGUGU